AUUGAACGCUGGCGGCAUGCCUUACACAUGCAAGUCGAACGGCAGCACGGGUGCUUGCACCUGGUGGCGAGUGGCGAACGGGUGAGUAAUACAUCGGAACAUGUCCUGUAGUGGGGGAUAGCCCGGCGAAAGCCGGAUUAAUACCGCAUACGAUCCACGGAUGAAAGCGGGGGACCUUCGGGCCUCGCGCUAUAGGGUUGGCCGAUGGCUGAUUAGCUAGUUGGUGGGGUAAAGGCCUACCAAGGCGACGAUCAGAAGCUGGUCUGAGAGGACGACCAGCCACACUGGGACUGAGACACGGCCCAGACUCCUACGGGAGGCAGCAGUGGGGAAUUUUGGACAAUGGGCGAAAGCCUGAUCCAGCAAUGCCGCGUGUGUGAAGAAGGCCUUCGGGUUGUAAAGCACUUUUGUCCGGAAAGAAAUCCUUGACUCUAAUACAGUCGGGGGAUGACGGUACCGGAAGAAUAAGCACCGGCUAACUACGUG
rnacentral:rRNA from 1 species